rnacentral:rRNA from 1 species
UGAUGGCGUAUAUUAAAUUUGUUGCAGUUAAAAAGCUCGUAGUUGAAUUGACGGUGGGCCAGCGGCAUCCUUACGUGGGAACCUUUGGUCCGCUCGCAUCUUUUGAUGCCUUGUUACUUUGAGAAAAAUAGAGUGUUUCAAGCGGGCAUUUGCUUACAUAGUGUACCGUGGAAUAACAAUAAGGCCGCUCGUCCGCUCGUUGACUCUGGGAAUUGCGGUGCGUGUUGAGAGGAACAGUCGGGGUAGUCGUAUUGAACAGUGAGAGGUGAAAUUCUUAGAUUUGUUUGUCUAGUGCGAAGGCAUCUACCAAGGAUGUUUCCAUUAA